CAAGUUAGAGCUUGAAUAAGCAUUUCAUUUACAUUGAGGGGAUUUCUGUUAAAUUCAGUUAACUUGA
rnacentral:tRNA from 1 species